rnacentral:misc_RNA from 1 species
GAUGAAGAACGUAGCAAAAUGCGAUAAGUAAUGUGAAUUGCAGAAUUCAGUGAAUCAUCGAAUCUUUGAACGCACAUUGCGCCCGCUGGUAUUCCGGCGGGCAUGCCUGUUCGAGCGUCAUUUCAACCCUCAAGCCCCCGGGUUUGGUGUUGGGGAUCGGCUCUGCCCUUCUGGGCGGUGCCGCCCCCGAAAUACAUUGGCGGUCUCGCUGCAGCCUCCAUUGCGUAGCAGCUAACACCUCGCAACUGGAACGCGGCGCGGCCAUGCCGUAAAACCCCAACUUCUGAAUGCUGACCUCGGAUCAGGUAGGAAUACCCGCUGAACUUAAGCAUAUCAAUAAGCGGAGGA